UCUCUUGGGGGAUGAAUCUUCCUCCCAGUGUGUGAGCAUUCCCUGGGCUCUGACUGCCCUUUAAAGGCCACACAGAUGUUCACAAGUUAUAAUUGUACUUCCAGAUGUAAUUCAGAGGUGGGGAGAAAAGGGGAUGAAUUUUGAGGCAGGGGCUGAUUUUCUUCUAUUUUUUUCUGUUUAUUUUGGAGAGUGGAAGUAAGCCAACAGAAAUCACAGGGAAUAAUGCAAAGGAUGUUUCUCAAAUUGCUUUUUAGGAGGGAGAGAAACUGUGCCAGAAUGAAUGACUGCUGUAGAGUAGAGCACAUGAGCCAGUUCAGCCUAUGUAAAAUAGGAGUUUAUCAUAUCACUGAAAGGAGUUCUCAUCACCCUGGGAAGAAGAAAUUUCACUGCAAUUCAGACAUCUUUAUGACAUAUUAGUGUACCAUGGAUUCAGACAUGCCAUGUCCUACCAACCCAAGAAACUUCAACCAUGCCCUUCAAUUCAGGAUCCGUGGGAACUCCUCUGCACUCCUGUGACUUCAUGCAGCUGCUGGCUGUCCAGUGCUAAUGCCACCUCUAGGGUGCCUAUAAGGCCAGCAUGUUAAAGCACUUUAUUUUCAGUUUAAACCUCGUGAAAGAUAGGAGGAAUUGGUGAAAUUAUCGAAGAUUUUCAGUCUAAGAGAAAGGUAACUGAAUUCAGAGGCUUCCUUUACAAUGACAAUGUAUUCAUCUGCCAGUACAUUGGUAAC
rnacentral:lncRNA from 1 species